rnacentral:lncRNA from 1 species
CAGGAGGCAGUGAGCAGUUAGUCUGCCACCUCUCUAAGCUCCAGAGAGUAGGAAUGCAGCCAGUGAGAGCACAAGGUGAAGGUUUCAGCACUUGCAGACAGUGUUUAUGAAACUAAACAUUCAUACCUGGAUAUUGCUACAAAACAAGCAAGGAGAGGGAAAGGUGGGGAAGACAAGCCCUGUUGCUGAUGAUAGAAUCAACCAAGCUGCAACAACUGAAAGACAGACCUGUCUUCUGAGCAUAGCAAACUCUUAGUACAACAACGAUGUAUUUGCAUACCUAUGGAAAGGAAAACUUCUGCUUUGAUUAGGAGGGUUAAGGUCAAGCAAGAGGGUUAAAGACAUCACACUUCAGCAAGAAUGGAGUGGAGGUGGCAGAGAACAGAAAGUCAUCUGAAUAAGAGAAGAGGAUGCUCUUUGGAUUUAACCUCAGUGUAAGCAGAUGAAAUACAGUUCUUGUUGAGUCUUUGGCUUUAUCUUUUGGAUGUGAUAGUGUUUUGCCUGGAUUUCAUGGGCUUAGCCUGUUUUGAUUAGCACCAAGUAAGACAGCACGACUUU